rnacentral:rRNA from 1 species
AUAUUGCGCAAUGGAGGGAACUCUGACGCAGCGACGCCGCGUGAGCGAUGAAGGUCUUCGGAUCGUAAAGCUCUGUCCUUGGGGAAGAAGGUCUUCGGACUUGACGGUACCUAAGGUGCAAGACCCGGCAUACUACGUCCCAGCAGCCGCGGUAAUACGUAGGGGGCAAGCGUUGACCGGAAUUAGUGGGCGUAAAGGGUGCGUAGGCGGCCUUUUAAGUCAGAAGUGAAAGCCCACGGCUUAACUGUGGGGUUGCAUUUGAAACUGAAGGGCUUGAGUGUCGGAGAGGGUAGUGGAAUUCCCGGAGUAGCGGUGAAAUGCGUAGAUAUCGGGAGGAACACCAGUGGCGAAGGCGACUACCUGGACGACAACUGACGCUGAGGCACGAAAGCUAGGGGAGCAAAC